GGCAACCUGUUAGGGUCUGCUUUUGUCCUCUGGGAGCUUUCCUUGUUUGGUUUUCGUAGUAAAUCUUACUGCUGCUCAGUGUUUGUGUCUGUGCUGCGUUUGUGAGCUGCAACGCUCACGGUAAAGGUCUACAGCUUCACUCCCGAAGCCAGCGAGACUGUAAAUCCACUGGGAGGGGCAAAGAACUCUGGACGUGCUGCAUUUUUAGGAGCUGUGACACUCACCGCGGAGGUUUGCAGUUUCACUCCUGAAAUCAGUGUAGACCACGAACGCACCAGAAGGAACAAACUCCAGACACACCGUUUUUAGGUAACCGUAACAUGUACCGCGAGGGUCUGCGGCUUCAUUCUUGAAGACGAGACUAAGAACCCACCAACUUCUGGACACAAAACCACCCCAAAAAACUUUAUCUUCUAUUCCGUUGGUCUGCCUAUCUAGAAAGCAAAAUUUCAAAUACUGAGACCGAUAGAUGAAGAUGCUUUCGCUUCUUCCCUGUUUCAUCCAGUUGGGGACUAAGUGUCCUUCGGUUUGGACUGUGCAGCUCGGGUCACCUUCUCUGUGGAACAGCAAGUGAAGAAAGAGGCGCAGAGCCCUGUGUUCCAAACCCUGGAGACAAUUGAGAAAGUGGGAACCCAUUAUUCCCCAAGCCCAGCCAGCAAACCUCACCGAUGAAACAGAUAAGCACUUCCUGCAGGUGGGGCCGACACUGGCCAGGACACAGCCCUCUCUCUCACAGCAGUGUUCCAGGUUGUUUGUGCACAAAAUUUCACAAAGGUCAGAGCUCGUCUCUCCAAACCGAUGAGCUUUGCGGUUAACCUGAAUUCACUGAACUGGGAUUUAUUAUUAUUAUUCUAUUUUACCUCUAACAGAAGUUUAAGGUUCGUGUAAGUUUCGUUCCUCUCUGAUUGUAGGGGAGACGCCCAGAGCGCCAUUUGGAGGAGAGAACCUGGCAUCCUUUCCUUACCUUGAUUUCAGGUACCCAGCUCCUAGCAAAUGUGUCUUCCUCCCAGGGUUCUUUGGGGUAAAGAAUUUGGUGAGAAGGAGCUGAAUGUUAUGGCUGCGUUUCUCAGCCACUUGCUCGGAGCCAAGCAUCCUCUCACCCUUUCUUUCAACUGGUAGCCAGAAAAUACGGGUUGAGCAUCAGGGAUUCUCAACCGUGUCAAGCUCCAGCCCUGCCUGUUGUGACAGACGUUUCCUGAUGCCUGUUGCUCUCUGGAAUGAAGGUCAUGGGCAGUAUUACCCACACAGCCAUUCAAAAUCAGUCGGCUUCGUGACCUGUUGUGAAAGGAUGGCGAUUGCCGUGCCAGCACGUGACAUGGACUCGGAUGCCUGCGCACACAGGUGCACCUUCCAGAAGGUGAGGUCAGCCCGAGCGCCCACCGCCAUGUGAGUGCGCUGCUGCAGUGACCAGUUGCUGGAAUGUUCUGAACAGAGCCCAGUGCCACCCACUUUGAUGUGCGCUAUUGUUA
rnacentral:lncRNA from 1 species